rnacentral:rRNA from 1 species
AGUGAACGCUGGCGGUAGGCCUAACACAUGCAAGUCGAACGGCAGCACAGUAAGAGCUUGCUCUUACGGGUGGCGAGUGGCGGACGAGUGAGGAAUACAUCGGAAUCUACUUUUUCGUGGGGGAUAACGUAGGGAAACUUACGCUAAUACCGCAUACGACCUUCGGGUGAAAGCAGGGGAUCUUCGGACCUUGCGCGAUUGAAUGAGCCGAUGUCGGAUUAGCUAGUUGGCGGGGUAAAGGCCCACCAAGGCGACGAUCCGUAGCUGGUCUGAGAGGAUGAUCCGCCACACUGGAACUGAGACACGGUCCAGACUCCUACGGGAGGCAGCAGUGGGGAAUAUUGGACAAUGGGCGCAAGCCUGAUCCAGCCAUACCGCGUGGGUGAAGAAGGCCUUCGGGUUGUAAAGACCUUUUGUUGGGAAAGAAAAGCAGCAGGUUAAGACCCCGCUGUUCUGACGGUACCCAAAGAAUAAGCACCGACUAACUUCGUG